rnacentral:rRNA from 1 species
UACGAAGGGGGCUAGCGUUGUUCGGAAUUACUGGGCGUAAAGCGCACGUAGGCGGGUUGUUAAGUCAGGGGUGAAAUCCUGGAGCUCAACUCCAGAACUGCCUUUGAUACUGGCAACCUAGAGACUGGAAGAGGUUAGUGGAAUUCCCAGUGUAGAGGUUGAAAAUUCGUAGAUAUUGGGAAGAAACACCAGUGGCGAAGGCGGCUCACUGGUCCGGUACUGACGCUGAGGUGCGAAAGCGUGGGGGAGCAAACAGG